rfam:Dipodomys ordii contig_35122, whole genome shotgun sequence.
GGUGGCUCAGUGGUAGAGUGCUUGCCUUGCAUGCAUGAGACCUGGGUUCGAUUCCUCAGCACCA